CAUGAAGCUGGAAUCGCUAGUAAUCGCGGAUCAGAAUGCCGCGGUGAAUACGUUCCCGGGUCUUGUACACACCGCCCGUCACACCAUGGGAGCCGGUAACGCCCGAAGUCAGUGACCCAACCGAGAGGAGGGAGCUGCCGAAGGCGGGACAGGUAACUGGGGUGAAGUCGUAACAAGGUAUC
rnacentral:rRNA from 1 species